UACGUAGGGUCCGAGCGUUGUCCGGAUUUACUGGGCGUAAAGGGCUUGUAGGCGGUUCGUUAAGUCUGGUGUGAAAUCUCCCGGCUCAACCGGGAGGGGUCAUCGGAUACUGGCGGACUAGAGACAGGUAGAGGAAAGCAGAAUUCCCGGUGUAGCGGUGAAAUGCGUAGAUAUCGGGAGGAAUACCAGUGGCGAAGGCGGCUUUCUGGGCCUGUUCUGACACUGAGGAGCGAAAGCGUGGGGAGCAAACCGG
rnacentral:rRNA from 1 species